rnacentral:rRNA from 1 species
UACAGAGGUCCCGAGCGUUGUUCGGAUUCACUGGGCGUAAAGGGUGCGCAGGUGGGUUUGCAAGUUCGAUGUGAAAGCCCCGGGCUUAACCCGGGAAUGGCAUUGGAUACUGCAGAUCUGGAGGAUCGGAGGGGGGACUGGAAUUCUUGGUGUAGCAGUGAAAUGCGUAGAUAUCAAGAGGAACACCUGCGGCGAAGGCGGGUUGCUGGGCCGACACUGACGCUGAGGCGCGAAAGCCAGGGGAGCGAACGGG